rnacentral:rRNA from 1 species
AGAGUUUGAUCCUGGCUCAGAUUGAACGCUAGCGGGAUGCCUUACACAUGCAAGUCGAACGGCAGCGCGGGCUUCGGCCUGGCGGCGAGUGGCGAACGGGUGAGUAAUGCAUCGGAACGUACCCAGUAGUGGGGGAUAACCACGCGAAAGCGUGGCUAAUACCGCAUACGCCCUUAGGGGGAAAGGGGGGGGAUCCUUCGGGACCUCUCGCUAUUGGAGCGGCCGAUGUCGGAUUAGCUAGUUGGUGGGGUAAAGGCCUACCAAGGCGACGAUCCGUAGCUGGUUUGAGAGGACGACCAGCCACACUGGGACUGAGACACGGCCCAGACUCCUACGGGAGGCAGCAGUGGGGAAUUUUGGACAAUGGGGGAAACCCUGAUCCAGCCAUCCCGCGUGUGCGAUGAAGGCCUUCGGGUUGUAAAGCACUUUUGGCAGGAAAGAAAUAGGCCUGGCUAAUACC